CCAGACCCCGGGUUUCUAACUCUACUAAAUCCUAAAACAGAGCCUCACAGAAGAGUGCUGUGCUCUAGUCCAGGGUUUCCCAAACUCGGUCGUGGGAAACUCUGUAGUCCACCUCUAGGUAGCCUGUGGCACCCGUCUUCGUCACACACACUACGUGUGUAGUAAACACUUCAUUACAGGGCACAACUGUACUCAAACUACAAUAAAUGGACAACUGUGAAGCAUUUCAUAGCUUGUAGUCCUGCUGGCAGUAUCACAUACUGUACCUGUCGAAAGGCUGCGGUGGUCGUGCUUCAGAUGUGAAGAUUUUCAGAGUCUGACUUUAUCUCGCCACAAUAUCAUCAUCCUGGCGAUCAGAUCUUGGCUGUCUUAAAGAGGUGGAUUCAUAUUGGUAUGUGUUGACUCCAGUGCUUUCCACAGUUGUGACAAGUUGGCUAAGAUGCCCUUUGGGUGGUGGACCAUUCUUGAUACACACAGGAAACUGCUGAGGGUGCACUUGGCACGUACUACCAUACCCCCUUCAAAGGUGCUUAACCUGUCUCCUCCUCUUCAUCUACACUGAUUUAAUAGGAUUUAACAAGUGACAUUAAUAAGAUGGCAUAGCUUUCACCUGCAUUCACCUGGUCAGUGUAUGUCAUGGCAGGUUUUCUUAAUGAUUUGUACAGUCAGUGUAUAUCUCUGACAACUCAUCAACUGCAUUAGCUAUUUGCACCCACACACUUUACAUUGUAUACAUUUUUACUUAAAUUACUUACUAUUGUGUAUUAUGUGUAUGUACUACAAUUAGACUAUGGGUAAGUUCUGUCCAUAUUCUGUCUAUUGUAUACACUGUAGCACCAUUUCACCAGGUCAAAUGUAUGUACAUGGCGAUUAGAGGUGAUUCUUAUUCUAUAGAGAGGGUGAAACGGUGUCCUGAAGGGAAUAUUCCAUAUCCUCCAUGGGGAACAUCCACUGUGCUUCUUGAAGAACCCUUAGGGAUGAAGUUGACAAGCGAGAAGAGACGAUGGUUGACAACAUACUACACGUAUGUGCUGCAAUGGUGAACAUGUCUGAUAGUGUUGUUUACAAGAAUACAAAUGAAUGUGACAGCCAAAGGGAUGCCUAAAAAGGGUCCUGAAAUGCCAAUCUUUUUUUUUUUCUUCACCAGACCGAUUACAUGAUUCAGGGUUGAGUCCUUCGACUGAACUACUCUAUUCCUAACUUUUCUUCAUGUACCAGCUUCCCAUUCUUCCUCUCUGCACUGUAUUCCACCCUGGACUGUCUGUAGACUGGAGUCUGUCUCCUAAGAAGGAAACGCAUCACCGUCAAUUGUUUUUGGUUGUUGAUGUUUUUUUACAGCCAGCGUGGAACCAGAUAUAAGGCUGUAUUCAAUCCGUAUCGCGGAAGAUCCGUAUUAAAAUGCAAAGGUAAUUUCCGAUUGAGCCGACAUAUGCAGCGUUUAACGCGAAUGCAGUCUCCGCGAACACGGGAACAUGGCCUUUACAUUUCAGACGAGCUAAUAAAAGGUGGAUCUUCCUCGAUACGGAUUGAAUUCAGCCCAUAGUCUUGGUUUUCUUAACUUAUUCCCAAUCUCUUAUUCUAUCAGUUACAGUAUAUGAAAUAAAUAUACAGUAGACCUAUAUCACAACCUAGAGUUUGUACCUUGUAAAUGGGCUGUGCCAACCAUCUUGUUGUAGAUAUACUUGGCCCAGAAUCGGUUUAUUGUGUCCAGAGCCUUGGUGAGGAAGUCAUCAUCUCACGGGACACGGACAAUUACACAUUGUUUGGGGGUCCACGUGAUGAAAUCAGUUCUUGUUUCACAAACAUCUGCAGCUGCGCCUGUGUUGAACAAAACAUAGUGAAAACUGACUCACCGCGUAGCAGUCUAUGCUCCUAUGAACUUUUUGAUGUCAGACAACAUUUAGGUCAACUAUGAACUGUGUUGAUAUGCAUUUUGCCUUAUAACUGUGUCACGUUUGUCGUAUGAUGAAGGAGACCAAGGCGCAGCAUGUGUAUCGUUCCACAUUUUAUUAUAACUGUGAAACUAUGCAAGACAUACAAAUAAACUACUAAACAAAAUAACAAACCGUGACGAAGAGGUGAAACAUACACUACCUCAAAAUAAUCUCCCACAAAACCUAGUGGGAAAAAACAACAAUUUAAAUAUGAUCCCCAAUUAGAGACAACGAUGACCAGCUGCCUCUAAUUGGAGAUCAUCCCCCCCCCCCAAAAAAACAUAGAAAAACAGAAACUAGAACCACACAACAUAGAACAUUUUAACUAGACAAGACCCCCUGUCACGCCCUGACCUACUCUACCAUAGAAAAUAAAAGCUUUCUAUGGUUAGGACGUGACAAACUGCUAUAUAAUUCAGUGUAAAUGUUUACCAACCUGAGUGUUGGAUAAGUGGUUCUUCCUCAAAGAAGUUGCACUUGCCAGAUGCCCUCUCUUGUUCUGUAGCCAGUCGUCUAGAGUGCUGUUGUCUUGUGCCCAGUUGAAAGGACACUUGACCUCCAGGACUCUGUGUACAGCCACCCAUGUCUGACCGCCCUGACCUUAGAGAGCUGUGUUAUGUCUCUAUUUGGUUAGGUCAGGGUGUGGGGUGGGCAUUCUAUGUCAUGUAUUUCUUUGUUUUGGCCGUAUGGUUUCCAAUCAGAGGCAGCUGUCUAUCGUUGUCUCUGAUUGGGAAUCAUA